AAUUGGAGGGCAAGUCUGGUGCCAGCAGCCGCGGUAAUUCCAGCUCCAAUAGCGUAUAUUAAAGUUGUUGCAGUUAAAAAGCUCGUAGUUGAAUUUCGGGGUUCUACCGUUGGUCGGGCUUUGUCUGUACUGGCGUGUAGAAUUUCUACCUUCUGGGGAACCAUCAUGUUAUUAAUUUAACGUGGUGGGAAACCAGGACCUUUACCUUGAAAAAAUUAGAGUGUUCAAAGCAGGCUUAUGUCUGAAUACAUUAGCAUGGAAUAAUAGAAUAGGACGGUGGUCCUGUUUUGUUGGUUUCUGAAUCACCGUAAUGAUUAAUAGGGAUAGUUGGGGGCAUUAGUAUUCAAUUGUCAGAGGUGAAAUUCUUGGAUUUAUUGAAGACUAACUUCUGCGAAAGCAUUUGCCAAGGAUGUUUUCAUUAAUCAAGAACGAAAGUUAGGGGAUCGAAGACGAUCAGAUACCGUCGUAGUCUUAACCAUAAACUAUGCCGACUAGGGAUCGGACGAUGUUAAUUUUUCUUGACUCGUUCGGCGCCUUACGGGAAACCAAAGUGU
rnacentral:rRNA from 1 species